GACAGAGGGGGCAAGCGUUGCUCGGAAUUACUGGGCGUAAAGGGCGCGUAGGCGGGAUGGCAAGUCGGUCGUGAAAUCCCUCGGCUCAACCGAGGAACGUCGAUCGAUACUGCUGUUCUUGAGGAUUGCAGAGGAGACUGGAAUUCCCGGUGUAGCGGUGAAAUGCGCAGAUAUCGGGAGGAACACCAAUGGCGAAGGCAGCUCGCUGGGACGGUACUGACGCUGAGACGCGAAAGCGGUGGGGAGCAAACAGGG
rnacentral:rRNA from 1 species